CGCAGCCGCGGUAAUUCCAGCUCCAAUAGCGUAUAUUAAAGUUGUUGCAGUUAAAAAGCUCGUAGUUGAAUUUCGGGAUUAGUACGCUGGUCGUGCCUUCGGUAUGUACUGGUGUUACUGGUUCCUACCUUCUGACGAACCGUCAUGUCAUUAAUUUGGUGUGGCGGGGAAUCAGGACUGUUACUUUGAAAAAUUAGAGUGUUUAAAGCAGGCUCGCGCUUGAAUACAUUAGCAUGGAAUAAUGAAAUAGGACGUUCAAUCCUAUUUUGUUGGUUUCUAGGAUUGACGUAAUGAUUAAUAGGGAUAGUUGGGGGCAUUAGUAUUCAAUUGUCAGAGGUGAAAUUCUUGGAUUUAUUGAAGACUAACUACUGCGAAAGCAUUUGCCAAGGAUGUUUUCAUUAAUCAAGAACGAAAGUUAGGGGAUCGAAGACGAUCAGAUACCGUCGUAGU
rnacentral:rRNA from 1 species